rnacentral:rRNA from 1 species
UACGUGGGGGGCAAGCGUUGUCCGGAUUUAUUGGGCGUAAAGAGCGUGUAGGCGGCCAUACAGGUCCGUUGUGAAAACUCGAGGCUCAACCUCGAGACGCCGAUGGAAACCAUGUGGCUAGAGUCCGGAAGAGGAGAGUGGAAUUCCUGGUGUAGCGGUGAAAUGCGCAGAUAUCAGGAAGAACACCCGUGGCUAAGGCGGCUCUCUAGUACGGUACUGACGCUGAGACGCGAAAGCGUGGGGAGCGAACAGG